AGAGUUUGAUCCUGGCUCAGAACGAACGCUGGCGGCAGGCUUAACACAUGCGAGUCGAGCGCCCCGCAAGGGGAGCGGCAGACGGGUGAGUAACGCGUGGGAACAUACCCUUUGGUUCGGAAUAACUCAGGGAAACUUGAGCUAAUACCGGAUACGUCCGUAAGGAGAAAGAUUUAUCGCCAAAGGAUUGGCCCGCGUCCGAUUAGCUAGUUGGUGAGGUAACGGCUCACCAAGGCUACGAUCGGUAGCUGGUCUGAGAGGAUGAUCAGCCACAUUGGGACUGAGACACGGCCCAAACUCCUACGGGAGGCAGCAGUGGGGAAUAUUGGACAAUGGGCGCAAGCCUGAUCCAGCCAUGCCGCGUGAGUGAUGAAGGCCUUAGGGUUGUAAAGCUCUUUUGUCCGGGAAGAUAAUGACUGUACCGGAAGAAUAAGCCCCGGCUAACUUCGUGCCAGCAGCCGCGGUAAUACGAAGGGGGCUAGCGUUGUUCGGAAUCACUGGGCGUAAAGCGCACGUAGGCGGACCGUUAAGUCGGAGGUGAAAGCCUGGGGCUCAACCCCAGAACUGCCUUCGAUACUGGCGGUCUUGAGUAUGGUAGAGGUUGGUGGAACUCCGAGUGUAGAGGUGAAAUUCGUAGAUAUUCGGAAGAACACCAGUGGCGAAGGCGGCCAACCGGACCAUUACUGACGCUGAGGUGCGAAAGCGUGGGGGAGCAAACAGGAUUAGAUACCCUGGUAGUCCACGCUGUAAACGAUGAGAGCUAGCCGUUGGGGUGCAUGCACCUCAGUGGCGCAGCUAAC
rnacentral:rRNA from 1 species